CAUCAGAUGACUGAAAGCAAGUAAUGGUCUCUUAAACCAAUUUAUAGUAAAUAGCGGUUACUUCUGAUGA
rnacentral:tRNA from 1 species